GGGUCCGUAGGUUGGUCGUGCCACCGGUACGUACUGGUCUCACUGAUUCCUCCUUCCUGAAUAACCGUAAUGCCAUUAAUUUGGUGUUGCGGGGAAACAGGACUGUUACUUUGAAAAAAUUAGAGUGUUUAAAGCAAGCUAACGCUUGAAUACAUUAGCAUGGAAUAAUGAAAUAGGACGAUCGAUCCUAUUUUGUUGGUUUCUAGGAUUGACGUA
rnacentral:rRNA from 1 species